rnacentral:rRNA from 1 species
UUGAACGCUGGCGGCAGGCCUCACACAUGCCAGUCGAGCGGAUGAAGGGAGCUUGCUCCUGGCUUCAGCGGCGGACGGGUGAGUAAUGCCUAGGAAUCUGCCUGGUAGUGGGGGAUAACGUCCGGAAACGGGCGCUAAUACCGCAUACGUCCUGAGGGAGCAAGUGGGGGAUCUUCGGACCUCACGCUAUCAGAUGAGCCUAGGUCGGAGUAGCUAGUUGGUGGGGUAAAGGCCUACCAAGGCGACGAUCCGUAACUGGUCUGAGAGGAUGAUCAGUCACACUGGAACUGAGACACGGUCCAGACUCCUACGGGAGGCAGCAGUGGGGAAUAUUGGACAAUGGGCGAAAGCCUGAUCCAGCCAUGCCGCGUGUGUGAAGAAGGUCUUCGGAUUGUAAAGCACUUUAAGUUGGGAGGAAGGGCAGUAAGUUAAUACCUUGCUGUUUUGACGUUACCAACAGAAUAAGCACCGGCUAACUUCGUG